AGUGAACGCUGGCGGCGUGCCUAAUACAUGCAAGUCGAACGGAGUGGCGCACGGGUGAGUAAUAUAUAGCUAAUCUGCCCCUUGCUGGAGGACAACAGUUAGAAAUGACUGCUAAUACUCCACAGCACGGGAGGAGACUAUAUCUUAUCAGCUAGCGGGUGGGGUAACGGCCUACCGAGGCUAUGACAAGUAACUGGUCUGUGGGGAUGAUCAGUCAGAUUGAAAGUGAGACACGGUCCGUACUCCUACGGGAGGCAGCAGUAGAGAAUAGUGCGCAAUGGGGGGGACUCUGACAGAGCCACGCCUCGUGGAGGAUUACACUUUUCGGAGCGUGAACUCCUUUUGUUAGAUGAGCGGUGCCUAACGAAUAAGCACCGGCUAACUCCGUGCCAGCAGCCGCGGUAAUUC
rnacentral:rRNA from 1 species